rnacentral:lncRNA from 1 species
CAGGAGGGUAUUUUGCAAUAACAUUUGGAAUAUACGUUUUUAUUUUUUUAGUUGGGAUUUCUGGUGUUUAUAUUUUGAAGGUCAGGCAAAAUAUGUUUCAUUUUGGCAGAGUGAGAGAUCUAAUCUUUACCAGCAGCAUGACUAGACUGACAACCUGAUGGUAAAGCAAAUAAAUGAUCAGUUCCCUGUUCCAGCCACGGAACCCACAGUGCUUCCUUUAAUAACAUAUCUAGAAAUGUACAGCUCUCUUUGAAGGUGAAACAAUUCUCCCUUGCCUACUCAACACCCACCUAAAACCAGUUCAUAUGCAGAGCUAUUUCUGCCUGUUUUUUGUGUUACUUCUCCAUCAGAUAGCUAAAGAGUUUUAAACCAAGAAAUAACCACAGGAACUAAGUGAUGCAACUGCUCUUGCCACAAUUAACUACAAGGAAUUUAUUCCUCACUUCCUACACAGCACAUGCUUUUUGUAUUGCUCCUUUAUUCACCUUGAGGAAAUUAUUUAACUGCUUCAUGUUCAUAGAUGGGAGAUGGGAGAAAAUACAACCAAGAAAAUACACAAAACUUCAAAUUUUAUCUAUUCAAUCCUAAUCAAUGACAAACCUAUAGAAUUUGCCCUCUUCCCAAAAGAGUUGAUAAAAGAUCUAGGAUUCUGGACAAGGGAAGGGAGGUUUACUACGGUUUGUGUGACACAUCUGCUGAUCUUCUACCGGGUUUACUGCCUGUGCUAUCCUUGCCAGUUCAUGACUGAGAAGUGUGAGCGAAGCAGCACUUCAUCUCAGUUCCUGAUGUGGGACUGUCAUUUCUUUGAACAAGAUCAUUAAGCUAUCACCUCAAAACAAAAUGGAUACCCCUAAGGGUUAACUUGAAUCAUUCUCUAUCUAUAGAAAUUUACGAUCUGAUUACACAGUUAUAGUCUGAGGGUGGUGGUGGAGAGGUACCUAGAAAAGGAUAGAGUGUCCCUCCAGGCAAGGACACCUUCAUUCUUCUCUGAGGAGAAAUGAACACACUGCCAAUCAGUCAGAACUAGGAUGAUGUAAAUGUACAAGCAACUCAAGCCAUGAGAAAUUCCAACUUUUGGGCAU